rnacentral:rRNA from 1 species
UACGUAGGUGGCAAGCGUUGUCCGGAUUUAUUGGGCGUAAAGAGCGUGUAGGCGGUUCGGUAAGUCUGUCGUGAAAUCCUGAGGCUCAACCUCGGGCGUGCGAUGGAUACUGCCGGGCUAGAGGGUGGUAGAGGCGAGUGGAAUUCCCGGUGUAGCGGUGAAAUGCGCAGAUAUCGGGAGGAACACCAGUAGCGAAGGCGGCUCGCUGGGCCACACCUGACGCUGAGACGCGAAAGCUAGGGGAGCGA